rnacentral:rRNA from 1 species
CCUGUUUAACAAAAACAUGUCUUUUUGAGUUAUUUUUAAAGUCUGACCUGCCCACUGAAAUUUUAAAUGGCCGCAGUAUUCUAACUGUGCAAAGGUAGCAUAAUCAUUAGUCUUUUAAUUGAAGGCUGGUAUGAACGGUUGGACGAGGUAUAAGCUGUUUCAUAUAAAUUUAUAGUAGAAUUUUAUAUUUUAGUCAAAAAGCUAAAAUUUUGUUAAAAGACGAGAAGACCCUAUAAAUCUUUAUAUUUUAUUAUAUCUAAAUUUUUUGGAUUAAGUUUAUUUUUAUAUGGUAAAAUAUUUUGUUGGGGUGAUGUUAAAAUUUAAUGAACUUUUAAUUUUUAAAAAUCAUUAAUUUAUGAUUUAUUGAUCCAUUAGUAGUGAUUAUAAGAUUAAGUUACUUUAGGGAUAACAGCGUAAUUUUUUUGGAGAGUUCAUAUCGAUAAAAAAGUUUGCGACCUCGAUGUUGGAUUAAGAUAUAAUUUUAGGUGUAGCCGCUUAAAU